AUUUUUCUCCAGGCAGUUCCAAUUCAUUUCAGGAGGGUAAGUAAGAAAAAGCAAUUAGCUAUGAACAGGAGUUUUGUGACCACUGAUUCAUUUCUUAGAAGUCAGGCAUUCUCUGAAAAUAAACCUUGUACAAAUCUGUCAGUAUUCUUUCAUUCACUCUCUCCAAAACCAGGUUCAAUUUGCUCAGUGUGCAUGUGUCCUAAGGGUUCCCUUUAGCCUGCAAUCAGUCUGGACUCUAGGAAUGACAAGGUUAUAUUACCGCAUUCCUUUUUUCUUUAUUAUUUUCCAUAAUAAACGUUCCACACAGGUCUCUUCUUUCCAAUAUCAGUGAUGAUGUAAAGCUUGUGCUGACCUCCAACCUCCCCCGCAGUAGCAAAGUAUGGGGUAGACAAGCAGAAUUUAUCUUUUCCUUUGAAUCUCAUCAGUGUUGUUGAACAUGACAUCUAUACUGAAAAUUAUCCUACUGCAGCUGUGUGGGGCUAACGAGACAAACAACAUUAUAAAGGAACAGCAGCAAUGCCUAUGAAUUACUGAAGACUGAUUAAGUUUCAAAGAACAUGCUUAUUUAAAGGUAAGAUACCACUUCUGCAUGAUCACUUAGGAACUCCAAAUAGAAACCUCUCCAGAUAAAGUAUUUCUGAACUAGAUGAAGACAAGAAGGAAGACAUCCUUAGUUGGGAAAAACUCAUGUUAUAAAAGAUAAGGAGGGCGCCUAACAUCUGCUGUACUACGUUAUCUCAUUGUAUAGUCUGGACACGAAAAUUUGGAGGCUUUUUCACUCUAACUUCACCAUAUUUGUUCAAGUUUGGCCUCAAGUGGGCAGCUCUAAGGCCUGAUAAAUAUUAGCCACCUACUGUAUGCAGAGGUUAUUCAGUAAGUUAGUGUCUUAAAUGGAGUCAAUCAAUCAUCAUUUAUUUUGACACAGUUACAGAGCAGCCAUGCAACAUCUGUGAAAUUAUCAUCCCAUUUACUUUUAUACAGUCAUAGGUAUCAGAAGGAGAAAUCCGGGAAGGAGGCAACUUGAUAAAUGCAUAGCACAACAUCAUUUUUCAGCAUAGCAAAAUAUAUAAGCCAAUACAUGUGACACUACUGUAACAAAAGCUCUUGCAUCCUGAUCACCAUCCCGAACUGAGCUCAGAAAUCUGUAAUUUUGGGUAGACACAAAAUUUUUAACAGACCUGAUUUGAAAAGCUGCCUUAAACAUCCACAUCAUAUCGUCGCCUGAAGAAGAACAAUAACACUGAAUAUCCAACACUUCCUAUCAUGAGUCUGAGCCAGUAAAAGGAAUGAGAAAACUUGCAAAAUAACACAUUAUUCAAAACUGAAAGGUUCUAUCAGUCAGAUCAGGUAACAACAGACAAUAACAGACCUUAAAAAAAUACACACAUCGUUUAGAAGGUAGCCAAAAAUCAAUGCCAAAAUUUAGCCUUCAAAGAACACCCGAAAUAAUUUAACACAAACAAUACAGAAACAAACAGCAGUGGCCGAAGACUGACAUGCCUCAGGGAGCUUAUCAGAAGCUUCCUGAAGAACUACAUGAGGAGUGACAGGGAGCAGAGAUGAUGGUGAUACUGGCCAUGAAGGAAGAGGAACAUAUACUGUAGAAAGACAGUAAGUUACAUUAGCUACUACUGAGCCAUCAGUCUGAAUGAUUCGUUGCCUUGAGCAUGCAAGAGAAGCCAUUGCCUUUACAAAUGUAUUUUACACAUCUUAACUUCUGUGGCCCAGGCAACCGUUUCAUAGAUGGACAAACAGAGAGACAGAAAGGUCAUAUAUGACCAGAGUUGUUUCAACAAAUCAAACCCAUCCAAAAACAUACAGGCCUUUGAAAACAUCAGUCACAAACCUGUGAAAAACUUCUGUCAUGCAGGGAGAGAAGACAGGUGAUAAAGACUAAGAUGUGCUAGCAGGCCUUACUUGAAGAGGCAAGUUUUCUUCACAUCUAUGGCUAAGCUUUUUAUCCUUAAGUGACACCAUCUGUUCUGACAGACAGUUUUAUAAAAUUUGAAUAAGGUGACCUCGAUAGAGGAUUCUCGUGAUGUGGAAGAAUGAGAGUCAUACGUGGAUGUGAAAAGGUUGUGGACAGCUCAUGUAUAUUUCUCUUCCAUGGGUACCCAAGCGCAUACAGCGCUGUCACAAAACACAGAACUCACCCCUCUCGACACUCACAACACACACCUACCCGUGAUUUCUGUAACAAUGCUGCCAUAACUUUUCUACUAUCUUAUAAACGCCUGGCACGUGGCAUUCAGAAAAAUGACCCUUUAGAGUCUGUAGUUCACUUGUAUAGUUAACUUCUGACAGAUUAGCACACAGUAUCCCCUCCAAUUAUAGCAUUGUCACAUCACCGUAUGAGGAUCAGCAUCAAGGACUGUUUUAUGCAACAGAACAUUCAGCUGAUAAGUUCACUAAUCACCUGGUUAAUGACAACAGACACCAUUUGGCGAACAUCGGAAACAACAGCAUUAGGAAAAAGAUUACAGAAGGUCAGUGUGAACUGAUCUUCCUGUUUCCCCUGACAAAAAGCCUUCAGUAUCGAGGCCCUGGAGCGUGUUCAAAGAAGGGCAACAAAGCUGGCAAGGGGUCUGGAGCACAGGCCUUAUGAGGAGCAGCUGAGGGAGCUGGGAUUGUUCAGUCUAGAGAAGAGGAGGCUCAGGGGAGACCUUAUUGCUCUCUAUAACUACCUGAAGGGAGGUUGUAGUGAGCUAGGGGUCAGCCUCCUCUCUCAUGUAACCAUAUACAGGACUAGAGGGAAUGGCUUGACAGGCUUCAAGCUGUGCCAGGGAAGGUUCAGGCUGGACGUUAGGAAAUCCUACUUCUCUGAAAGGGUGGUCAGGCACUGGAAUGGGCUGCCCAGGGAGGUGGUGGACUCACCAACUCUGGAGGUGUUCACGGAACGUUUGGAUGUUGUGUUGAGGGACAUGGCUUAGUAAGAACUAUUGGUGAUGGGUGGAUGGUCAGACUGGGUGAUCCUGUGGGUCUUUUCCAACCUUGGUGAUUCUAUGAUUCUAUGAGUAUAAAACUAGACAAGAGCAAAAUGUUAUGUUUAUCACUUUUUUUUUCUUUUUUCUUUUUCUUUUUUUUUUACUACUCCUCAUCAUCAAUUCUCAACACAGUUGGACACACAAAAAUGUCAGAAACGUGACAAGGCCAGUUGUAGAGCAUGAUUGAAGGGCACUUGCAAAACACAAGCAAGGGAGUCUGCAAACCUACCCAAUAACUCAUUUUGUGUGUUAUCAGUGCUCUUGGCCUAUUCUUUCAGAAGCAUUUAUCUGCCCAUGGAGAUCAAAAAUUAUAC
ensembl:lncRNA